rnacentral:miRNA from 1 species
UUUAGACCAUGUAGAGCCUGAGUCCAUAUGAAGUUGAACUGGAGGAUGUCGGUGUAGUUUUGGCUUCAGUUUAACUUCAUAUGGACUCAGGCUCUACAUGGUCUAAA